CACCGCGAGGACGGGCAGCGAUUUCCGGCCCCCGGGAUGGAGCUACAGGUGUUAGCCAACGCUAGAAGGCAGCAUUGGAUACAGCACGACCACCUAAACAUGGAGACCCAGUAACGGGGGGUGAAGUCAAGAUGAACCUGUCAAGUGUGACUGUGGACUUCUCAGCAGAGAGGGAGGAAUGGCUUGUCCUCUGUUAAACUCAUGGAGGCCAGGUGGAGAGCAGGACAGAGAGGAGAGGAGCUUGGCCAGACACCGACAAGGAGACAGAGAGGAGGGACGGACACACACACAGAGAGAGAGAGAGAGAGAGAGAGAGAGAGAGAGAAGGAGAAAGGGAUCAGCAUAAUACUGGCAAGCUCCGAGUGUCAGUGAUGACUCAAAACAUCACUCCCCACCCCAUUUCCUCUAUCCCUCGCUACUUUCCCACUAUACUUAUCCCCUACACUUUGAUUUGUUUCUACACUUUGGAUUAUUCGUCUUCUUUAGACGUGUGAAUCAUGAAAUAGAAUCACGCAUGUAAGGUGGGUUGUCCAAAAUCACUUUCUCAUGGUUUACUCAUACAUGGCUGCAACUAUGAGCAACAGUUUGUGUAUGUUUAUGUUCAUACUGUUCUGUAUGUAUACAGAAUCACUGCAUCGGGAUGCACCGAUACCGGAUUGGAUAUCGGGCUGAAAGUGACUCAAAUAGCUGGAUUGGAUAUCGGUGACAAUGGGGCUGAGCUAUUAAAUUCAAUUCUAUGUUUAUAUACCAUUUACAUUAUAUAGUGGAAUUUUAAUUCCUGUUUAAGUUUUGACCAAUUUGUUGCUGCGUUGUUGGUGGUUUACACCUGAAUUGUAUUUCUUGUUAAUUUUGAAAAAAUUUUGUCAAGUGUUUGGUGUACGAUUCAUUAUUUUAAUAGUAAAUAAAAAUUCCCAAAACUAAUAUUACA